rnacentral:rRNA from 1 species
AGCAGCCGCGGUAAUUCCAGCUCCAAUAGCGUAUAUUAAAGUUGUUGCAGUUAAAAAGCUCGUAGUUGAAUUUUGGGAUCAAUAUGUUGGUCGUGCCUCGGUACGUACUGGCAUUAUUGGUUUCUACCUUCUGAAGAACCUCGAUGUCAUUAAUUUGGUGUCUUGGGGAAUCAGGACUGUUACUUUGAAAAAAUUAGAGUGUUUAAAGCAGGCUCACGCUUGAAUACAUUAGCAUGGAAUAAUGAAAUAGGACGUUUAAUUCUAUUUUGUUGGUUUCUAGGAUUGACGUAAUGAUUAAUAGGAAUAGUUGGGGGCAUUAGUAUUCAAUUGUCAGAGGUGAAAUUCUUGGAUUUAUUGAAGACUGACUACUGCGAAAGCAUUUGCCAAGGAUGUUUUCAUUAAUCAAGAACGAAAGUUAGGGGAUCGAAGACGAUCAGAUACCGUUGUAGUCUUAACCAUAAACUAUGCCGACUAGGAAUCGGAUGAUGUUAAUUUUUUAAUGACUCAUUCGGCGCCUUACG